AAACAUAUGUUUUAUUCCUGCCUGGGGAUUUCCACUCAGUUUUCUGUAGUUGAUAUCCCAACGCCUGAAGUGUUCUCAGAGUACGGCUGGGGAGAUCUCAGUCAAUGCAGCAGGAAAGGAGUCAUGCCUGUUCCCUUGCAUUAAAUAGGUGGGUCAGAUUUCCAGCUGGUGUAAAUUAUCAUGGCCAUAGAUCUGUACAGAUGGUGCUUGCAGCUUCUCUGGGAGACUGGAGGAGUAAAGCUUUGCUAGCAGUGGUGCUGAGGGAGGUAUUCAGUCCUUGUGAGGCUGUGUCCACUUUGCCAGAGCAGCCUCUGGGUUGGAUCAGUUGGAAAGGACAGUGCUGCAGUGCCUUGUCCAGUCAAUCCUCAGGUACCUGGAGGGCAUCCCAGAAAAACAGGAGGGUGAGCCAGCCUGCUCAGACAUUGAUGCUUUCUGAAUCUCACAGGUAAGCCCAAGUUUCAAUAUUUAACGGUCUUCAAAACCCCCAUGUAGCACCCCCUGGCCCAAGAGGAAAAGCAGCUCAGCACAGCUUCCCUGGAGAGCCAGACCAUGGCCAGGGAGCUGCAAUGACACCCCUUGGUCCAGAGCUGGGCUUUGAUUGCUGUGGGUGAAAUUCACAGUGUGUGUGGAGAGAAGCAGCGAGGCUGCCAGUGCAGGGGGAGUGAAUAAUGCAGAGGCCUUUGCUCGUCCUGUUGCACAGGAAUGAUUCCCACGUCCUCCAGGCACCGUGGAGUGAAU
rnacentral:lncRNA from 1 species